CGCGUUGUUCGGGGGAGGCGCGGGGAGAGCGGACGGGUGCGCGGUGCGCUCGGCGUGGAUUGCGGUGUUCCUACACACAGCUGCUGGAUGGCCCAAAGCAGGGAGCGAGACCGGGAAUUGCAAGUGACGUGCUGAGCCGGGAGGGGAACGUUCCCUGCAACUCGCACGGAGCAGUGGGCAGCUGACACGGGGCUGGCAAUACAAUCACAGAAUCAUAGAAGGGCUUGGGCUGAAAGGGAUCUUAUAAGACCAUCCGGUUCCUUCCUGUGCCAUGGGCAGCACUGCCACCCACCAGACCAGGCUGUCCAGGGCUCCAUCCAGCCUGGCCUUAGACGCCUCCAGGGAUGUGGCACCCACAGAUGCUGUGCCAGCACCUCACUGCCUUCUGUCACCUAACCUAAACCUCCCCUCUUUUAGCUUAAAGCCAUUCAUUGUCCUUGGGCAGAGUGGAGGGGAAAAUCCCCUCCCACUCUUUGCUGGCUACCCGUGUUG